rnacentral:lncRNA from 1 species
AGAAGUGUCACAAGAGAGAGAAGAAAUAAAUAAUGAGAGAGAAAAAGGUGAGGGAGAGGUGGUUAUAAUGAUGUUGUAAUGGAAAGAGAAGAGAAAUAGGAGAGAGAGAGAGAUAUGUCAGAAAAAGAAGAGAGAGAAGAAAAAUUAACAUCGUUACACCUUACUUAACGGAAGGGACCUAUUGCAAGCAAAAUAAAAAACUUGAGGACCUAAUUAAAUCACUUUUAAAUCCGGGUAUCAAACGGAAAUUCAGCCCCAAACUUGGGGACUAAAUAUUUAAGCCUUUUGAAAAUUUAAUUUUUGGAAAGUGUUCAUUAGGGAGGUGGAGGGCAAUUUUCAAAAUAUAGUAUUUAAAAUACUGAUUUUAUU